UGGGGAAUAUUGGACAAUGGGCGCAAGCCUGAUCCAGCAAUGCCGCGUGUGUGAAGAAGGCCUUCGGGUUGUAAAGCACUUUUAUCAGGAGCGAAACGCUGUCGGCUAAUACCCGGCGGAACUGACGGUACCUGAGGAAUAAGCACCGGCUAACUUCGUGCCAGCAGCCGCGGUAAUACGAAGGGUGCAAGCGUUAAUCGGAAUUACUGGGCGUAAAGCGUGCGUAGGCGGUUUCUUAAGUCUGCUGUGAAAUCCCCGGGCUCAACCUGGGAAUGGCAGUGGAUACUGGGAGGCUAGAGUGUGUCAGAGGGUGGUGGAAUUCCCGGUGUAGCGGUGAAAUGCGUAGAGAUCGGGAGGAACAUCAGUGGCGAAGGCGGCCACCUGGGACAACACUGACGCUGAGGCACGAAAGCGUGGGGAGCAAACAGGAUUAGAUACCCUGGUAGUCCACGCCCUAAACGAUGCGAACUGGAUGUUGGUCUCAACUCGGAGAUCAGUGUCGAAGCUAACGCGUUAAGUUCGCCGCCCUGGGGAGUACGG
rnacentral:rRNA from 1 species